GCAUGUGGAGGCCAAUGUUGCACGAAAUAUACUUGAAUUAGCAAAAUACAACAUAUAAUCAUACUCAAUCAGCCUCUUCUUUCAACUUCUUGCAAACUAAUUCUAUUUCUAAUAGAUUACAAAAGUACCUUUAAAAUUGAAAAUUGUGUAUUGUUCUCUUAUCCUCCACCAAAAUACAACAAUAACGACAACAACUCAGUAUAAUCUCACUUAGUGGGGUCUGAGGAGGGUAGUGUGUACGCAGACCUUAUACCUACCCUUGGGUAGAGAUGCUGUUUCCAAAUAGACCCCCGACAUUCUUCCCUCAAAAAACUUCCCAUCUUUCUCUUGGGGAGACUCGAACUCACAACCUCUCUGUUGGAAGUGGGGGUUGCUUACCAUCAGAGCAACCCUUCUUGUCUUUAUCCUCCACCAAAAUGAAGGAAGGAUUACAUAUUGUCC
rnacentral:lncRNA from 1 species